UGUGUGUGUGUGUGUGUGUGUGUGUGUGUGUGUGUGUGUGUGUGUGUGUGUAUGGGUGUGAAUGUGUAUUAUAUUGCAUACGAGUGUAUGAGAGAUUGUUUUGGCCAUGUGUGUGUUUGGGUGCAUUUGCAUAUAGAAAUAAUAAUAAUAAUAAUAAUAAUAAUAAUAACUCCUUAUAUUUAUAUAGUACUUUUCUAGACACUCAAAGUGAUUUACAUUGUAUGGUGUGUGUGUGUGUGUGUGUGUGUGUGUGUGUGUGUGUGUGUGUGUGUGUGUGGAGGAGUAGCAUCCACCUGGAUGAUGUGACGGAAGUGUAGUGCGCCAGAACGCCCACCACACACCAGCUAUUAGUGGAGAGGAGAGAGUGAUGUAGCCAGUUCAGGGAUGGAGAUUAUUAAGGGGCCAUGAUAGCUAAGGGCCAAUGGGGGAAUUUCACCAGGACACCAGGGUUAUACCCCUACUCCUUUAUGAGCUGUGUGGUGGGAUUUUUACUAACCACAGAGAGUCAGGACCUCUGUUUAACGUCUCACCCAAAAGACCGUACAACGAAAGAUGUGUAUUUGUGUGUUUGUUUUGUUUGUGUAUGUGAGUGGGCAUGUGUGUAUGUCUAUGCACGCAUGUGUAUGUUAGUUUUAUGUGUGAGUGAGUGUGUGUUUAUAUGUGUCUGUUUGUGUGUGUGUGUGUGUGUGUGUUUGGUUGCACACGUGUAUGUGCAUUUGUGUGGGUGUGCAUUGUAUCUCUGCAUGUGAGUGUAUGAGAGGUUUUUUUGUUCAAGUGCAUUUUUGUGUAUAUGUUCUGUGUGUGUGUGUGUGUUUGGGUGCAUAUAUGUGUGUAUGUAUGCAUGUGCAUUUGUGUUGUGUGUGUUUGUGUAUAUGAGUGUGCAUGUGUGUGUGAGCGAGUGUGUGUGUGUAUAUUUGUGUGUGUGUAUGUGUAUAUAUGUGUGUAGAUUUUCUGUGUGUGUUUACGUGUGUAUAUUUGUGUGUGUAUAUAUGUGUGUGUAUCUUUUCUCUGUGUGUGUAGAUUUUGUGUGUGUAUAUGUGUGUAGACUUUCUGUGUGUAUGUGUGUAGAUUUUUUGUGUGUGUGUAAGUGUGUUUGUGUGAGUGUGUGUUUAUGUGUGUGAGUGUGUAUUUAUAUGUGUGUGUUUGUAAGUGUGUGUUUAUAUCUGUGUGUGUGUGUGUGUGUGUGUAAGUGGGUUUUUAUAUGUGUGUGCGCUUGUGUGUCCGUGCGUGUGAGUGUGUGUGUGUGAGAGUAAGGGUGUGUUAUGUGUGUGUGUUUGUAAUUGUGUGUUAAUAUGUGUGUGUUUGUGUGUGUUUAUGUGUGUGUAUGUGUGUGUGAGUGUAAUUGUGUGUUCAUAUAUGUGUGUGUAAGUGUGUGUGCGUGCGUGUGUGUAUGCGUGUGCGUGUGUGUAUGCAUGUGCGUGUGCGUGUGUGCGCGCGUGUGUGUGUGCAUAUGUGUGCGUGUGUGUGUGUGUGUGUGUGUGUGUGUGUGUGUGUGCACGUGUGUGCGUGUGUGUGUGUGUGUGUGUGUGUGUGUGCGUAUGUGUGUGUCUUCUGAGGGCGUGGGUACGCUGUACGCGGGUGGUUAAGCUGUUAGCCUCAGAUGAAUGCAGGGGGAGCUCAGUCUCCUCUUUGAAGUGUGACAGGAGGAGGGGGAUGUUACCACGCCCACCAGGAGGGGCCUGCAGAGAGGGAGAAACUUUCGCCCUGUUUUUGUGAGGAACACUAGAGGUCCAGCUUGAGUCUCAGAUGCUCCGUUUUAAUUCUUACACUAAUUAUUCACCGGUCCUACAGCAAUGCCAGGGCUUCCUGCUUCCUGCUCCGCUUUACACUGUGAUGCAGUGCGCAGGCUGGAAAGAGUAACAGCAACACACACACACACACACACACACACACACACACACACACACACACACUUAUGUACUCACGAUGCCACUACACACCAUUGCUUAGGAGUUUUUUAAAGUAUGAAUGAAAUCAUGUCUGUACAGUUUCUGUUGUUUAUGCUUACAUUUGUGUCAGUGAGGGCUGAAUGGGGGAACUCCCUUUUCACGCAGACCUCCCAGUGUGUGUUUCUCUCCCUGUCCACACACACACACACACUCUCCGAGGCAUGCUAGGUCGUGUCCGGGACCCACCUCAAAGGGAAACGGAGGCCCAGGUGUGCAGCAGGGGUUGGGGCUGGGACGGGUACAGACAGGCCUCGUCCCAAUCCACUGACAAGCGAAGACACUGCCUUGUUCUUCCUCGACAGACUGAGCGGAAGGCUCGGUUAAAAGAUAUCUGUUUUCAUAUCUUAUCCUUAACCCUGCCCCUGGAGCCGGUGAAUCCUUUUGGUCAAGACCAAGAUUUGCUCAGCUGUUUCAUUGGGCCAGUGUUUGAAUCAGAGGCUGUUGUGCUUGAAAAUCCCAGGAGAUCAGCUGCUUCAGAAAUACUCAAACCGGCCCAUCUGCACCUGCAAGAUCACAUUUUACCCAACUGUGAUGUCAGAUGUGAACAUUUACUGAAGAUCUUGACCUGUAUCUU